UUAGCCAUCUAUGCCACUCGACUCGGUCUUGAGUCAAUCAUCCGCGGAGUACCGCGUCAAGUCAGGCUCGAGGUGGAGGACGUCUCACAAGCACCUCAGCCUUAAGUCCAUGCGACACUAGGUCAAUCACAGGGAGAGGAGAACCGUCGAUCCCCGUGACCCUAAGUCGCUCAAGCUUAACGGGCGAGGAGAACCGUCAAACCCGUUGAGCUCACACCGGGAGAGGAGAACCGUCGAUCCCGUUGAAUCACUACAGGGAGAGGAGAACCGUCGAUCCCGUAGUUCUGAUUCACUUGUUUCCUGGCAUACCGGGAGAGGAGAACUGUCGAUCCCGUUGAAUCACUACCGGGAGAGGAGAACCGUCGAUCCCGUAGUUCUGAUUCUAUUUUGCCAACAGCACCACUUCUAUGGAUUUCGGAACCCACUUUCACAACUUAAGGGUUUACUCUUUUACCCUAUGUCGACGACCUUUCUAGGUCUAUACCAUUCACUUUCUAGUGGUCCUAUUACCACUAUAAUUCAUAACUUAGUUUAAUUUUACUAAGUGUCUCUAUACAUCAUAACCUAGGUUCAUUUACGCUAGGUUUCAUGUUCUUUCACCUAGAUCUCGAUUCUAGGUUUACUAAUUCAACCUAUGUUCAAUGACACUAGGUUCAUUUCAUGUCCAACCUAUGUUCAAUAACACUAGGUUUAUUUCAUGUCCAAUCUAUGUUCAAUAACACUAGGUUCAUGCCACUCGAUCUAUUCAUUAUCCUAGUUAUCCACGCGUAGAAUUAUAAUUUGUACAUUUUCAUUUAUUUUGUUACCGUCAAGAUUUCUAAUCAACUAGAAUUAUCGACAUUCAUAUAGCUUGAACUAUAGUACAUUCACUUUCAUAUAUGUUUAGACAUAGGCAUCAAACUUUCACUUUUAUGUGGCAACAAUUAUGUAUGCUUUAGUAUUUAUGUUCACAUUUCAUAUUCAACUUACAUGCCCUUGGCAUUUAUAGGUUCAACAUUCAUAUACCAUAUGUUUGCUCAUAUGAAUUUAGCAUAACUAUGCAUUUAGCUUUCACGUUCAUAUAUCGACAAUUAUAUGUAUCUAGCACAAUCUACAAUAUAUUCUUAUGCCUCUAGCAUGUUCAUUAUCUGUUUACCAUUAUACAUCAUCUAGCAUUAACCAUAAUGCAUUCAUAUAUGCAUCAAAUGAAACCACGAUUUACUUUGGCAUGGAAGUGACCUAAUCACUUCGGUAAAGCACAACCC
rnacentral:lncRNA from 1 species